GACUCUCGGCAACGGAUAUCUCGGCUCUCGCAUCGAUGAAGAACGUACCGAAAUGCGAUACCUGGUGUGAAUUGCAGAAUCCCGCGAACCAUCGAGUCUUUGAACGCAAGUUGCGCCCGAGGCCUCUUGGCUGAGGGCACGCCUGCCUGGGCGUCACGCCAAAU
rnacentral:rRNA from 1 species